UGGCGAUGAGGAGAUACCCACUAUGUGAAAAUUACAGUGAUAGUUUUGUACGCUAUUCUGAGCCAGCA